UCCCAGUAAAUGAGGCAAGCAAUUCUAAGAUCUUCCACAAACAUCUAGCCAUCUAAAAUGGAGAGAUGAAUCGUUCUGCCUAUACAAACUAGCUGUUAGAGGGUGGUUGGGUAUGCUACUUCUAGGAUUUCAGGGUGUCUUCAAACUGAAAUCAAAAUGUUCUCAGUAUGAAAAACCUGAGAUCAAAUGCCUAUGUAAGGAAAGUGCUAUUCACCCAGUAAACCCAAAACAAAUGGAUAAUGCUGGCCAUAUUUUGCCUUUCUGACAUUUCCUUGGGAAUCUGCAAGAACCUCCCCUUUCCCCUCCCCCAGUAAGACCAUUUAAGUGUGUGUUAAACAACUACAGAAUACUAAAUAAAAAGUUUGGCCAAAACCAACCAUGAAGCUGCAAAGGGUGCUUGCUCUUACUGUUUCAAAUUUUUGCAACUCUGUAGUGUCUCACUUUUAAAGGAACAGCUUGAUUGCAAAGGAGAAAAUAGAUAAGCAAUGAAGUUAUCUCCAACUUCCUAAAGGCUUAUGACUUCUAAAAAGUGAAUCUAUCAGCAUUCCACAUCAGAUUUAAAGCAUCAAAUGCCUGUGAAACAGCAAAGAUGGUUGAGAAUUACAGUCAUGGAGUGCUGAUUUAUUCACGGUAGAUAAAGAUGGCAGCAAGAGAAAUCAAAUGCUAAGAGUUGUUGAAGCAGAAGAAUGCUGAUUUGUCGAUAAGUCACAACAGUUGCAUAAGCAGUGCUGUCAGACUUGGUUUGGUGCAGGCAAUAGAUUUUGCCUUCAAGGGUUCCUGUGGAUCUGAAGAGGGCCUCAGUGUUGGUUAACACUCUUAACCAGGGAGUGGUAGUUACUUAAAAUAAGUAAUUGACCAAAUGGAGAAAGGGAAGCAGUUAAGGAAAUUGGUAAGUGAAGAUAGGAAGUUCUUGCGGUUUUUCACAUAGAUUUUACAGCUUUGGCUUUCAUUUUGUUUAGCUAAAGUAUAGGGGCAACUCUGCAAUUUAGAACUUAAUUUGAAUUGGAAAAAUGAUGGACAUAAGUGGUAACUCCUUAUCCAGUAAAGUGUCUGAUUUUCAGCAAGUGAAACAUCUUGUGAUAGUUUAUCCAGAAACAGGGUUUAGUUGUAAAAAAGAGGGAGUGACUUCCGGAAACAAAAGUAACAACUAGAAACCUUGCUAAGAUAGAAAGCACACUUAAAACUGGAGGCAAAACUAGGCCACUUGGCUUUGUUGUACUGUAUUGUUUUGUAAGCCUACUUUACCCUCCCACCUCUCAAUCCUGGAAACAAAUUAUGAUACAACUUUACUUUAUUACUUGGAGAUGAGAGCCAAUAGUAUAAUUGCCAGUGUUCUCAAAGGAAACAGAUUUGAGUUGUUGGGUUAGAGGAACUAACUCAACUUAGGAGAUUUUUGUGUGUGUAAUUAUGGCACUACUAUCAUGUUUAACAUUUGCAGUUGGGGAAAAUGAUCCAAAAAUUUUAACCCUCAUUCGACAGACUUUUCUAAUCACAGACCAUGAGGGUAUUAACCAAAUUCAUAUAGUUGUUGCACUUCCAUAGCUGUCUUAGUUCAGUCCUUUCAUACUCUAAUUACUUUGAUUAAUGCUUCUGUGAGGACAUUUUGGCUCUUGAGAUUUUGUUUAGCCUUAAAAUCGUGUAGAAUAUAGAGAUUAAAUAGUAAAUCUGAAUUCCAAAUUCAAAGUAAGAAGUAUGCUUAAAUGACCAGGUACUUGUUGGACAAAUAGUUUAUUUACCUAGCAGGCUUGUGGAAAAAGAAUCGCUCUUGAUUCUUCUGGCUUUAUACUGGUUGUAAAGGAAACAGAAUGAUACAGAAAUGUUUUCCUUGUUUA